GUACGGGUUAAGUUCGUGCCAGCAGCCGCGGUAAGACGAACCGUACAAACGUUAUUCGGAAUUACUGGGCUUAAAGGGUGCGUAGGCGGCGCUGAAAGUUGGGUGUGAAAUGCCUCGGCUCAACCGAGGAAUGGCGCCCAAAACUACAGUGCUCGAGGGAGACAGAGGUGAGCGGAACUUAGGGUGGAGCGGUGAAAUGCGUUGAUAUCCUAAGGAACACCGGUGGCGAAAGCGGCUCACUGGGUCUCUUCUGACGCUGAGGCACGAAAGCUAGGGUAGCGAACGGGAUUAGAUACCCCGGUAGUCCUAGCCGUAAACGAUGAGCACUGGGUCGGAGGGUCCUCCAUAGCCUUCUGGCCGCAGCGAAAGUGUUUAGUGCUCCGCCUGGGGAGUAUGGUCGCAAGGCUGAAACUCAAAGG
rnacentral:rRNA from 1 species